rnacentral:rRNA from 1 species
GAGUUUGAUCAUGGCUCACAUUGAACGCUGGCGGCAUGCCUUACACAUGCAGGUCGAACGGCAGCAUGAUCUAGCUUGCUAGAUUGAUGGCGAGUGGCGAACGGGUGAGUAAUACAUCGGAACGUGCCCUGUAGUGGGGGAUAACUAGUCGAAAGAUUAGCUAAUACCGCAUACGACCUGAGGGUGAAAGUGGGGGACCGCAAGGCCUCAUGCUAUAGGAGCGGCCGAUGUCUGAUUAGCUAGUUGGUGGGGUAAAGGCCCACCAAGGCGACGAUCAGUAGCUGGUCUGAGAGGACGAUCAGCCACACUGGGACUGAGACACGGCCCAGACUCCUACGGGAGGCAGCAGUGGGGAAUUUUGGACAAUGGGCGAAAGCCUGAUCCAGCAAUGCCGCGUGUGUGAAGAAGGCCUCGGUUGUAAG